rnacentral:tRNA from 1 species
GGUGAGAUGGCCGAGCGGUCUAAGGCGCCAGACUAAGGAUCAGGACAUUUGAUGUCUAACUUGCGAAUUUCGUAUAUCUGGUCCUCCGGGGCGUGGGUUCGAAUCCCACUCUCAUCA